AUUGAACGCUGGCGGCAGGCCUAACACAUGCAAGUCGAGCGGAUGACGGGAGCUUGCUCCUUGACUCAGCGGCGGACGGGUGAGUAAUGCCUAGGAAUCUGCCUGGUAGUGGGGGACAACGUUUCGAAAGGAGCGCUAAUACCGCAUACGUCCUACGGGAGAAAGCAGGGGACCUUCGGGCCUUGCGCUAUCAGAUGAGCCUAGGUCGGAUUAGCUAGUUGGUGGGGUAAUGGCUCACCAAGGCGAGGAUCCGUAACUGGUCUGAGAGGAUGACCAGUAACACUGGAACAGAGAAACGGGCCAGACUCCUACGGGAGGCAGCAGUGGGGAAUAUUGGACAAUGGGCGAAAGCCUGAUCCAGCCAUGCCGUGUGUGAAGAAGGUCUUCGGAUUGUAAAGCACUUUAAGUUGGGAGGAAGGGCAGUAAGUUAAUACCUUGCUGUUUUGACGUUACCGACAGAAUAAGCACCGGCUAACUCUGUGCCAGCCGCCGCGGUAA
rnacentral:rRNA from 1 species